GCCGCAAGGUUAAAANCUCAAAGGAAUUGACGGGGGCCCGCACAAGCGGUGGAGUAUGUGGUUUAAUUCGACGCAACGCGAAGAACCUUACCUGGGCUUGACAUCCUCUGACAGCUCCGGAAACGGAGUCUUCCCCGGUUUACCGGGACAGAGUGACAGGUGCUGCAUGGCUGUCGACAGCUCGUGUCGUGAGAUGUUGGGUUAAGUCCCGCAACGAGCGCAACCCUUGUCUUUAGUUGCCAGUAUUAAGUUAGGCACUCUAAAGAGACUGCCUCGGUUAACGAGGAGGAAGGUGGGGAUGACGUCUAGUCCUCAUGGCCUUUAUGCCCAGGGCUACACACGUACUACAAUGGACUGUACAAAGGGUCGCUACACUGCAAAGUGAUGCUAAUCCCAAAAAGCAGUCCCCAGUUCGGAUUGGAGUCUGCAACCCGACUCCAUGAAGUGGGAAUCGCUAGUAAUCGUGGAUCAGA
rnacentral:rRNA from 1 species